rnacentral:lncRNA from 1 species
UUCGUCCGUCUUCACCAUCUGUGCAGGUACCAUCUGUGCAGGUUAUUAGGUGAAAAACGUUGUAGCCUUUUCCUCCCCAACAACGCAUACUCUUAGCUAGGGUUUCAACGCAUCUGACAGCUGAAGCUAGGGCGUCGCCACCGUCAAUGUCAUGGCACUCCCGCUCUGUUCACCAAUCGCAUCGACAGGUAACAGUCCAUCAUCUCCGUAUCACCUCCUUGGAUCCUCCUCCGUUCGGUGACUUCCACAGCAUGCCGCCAGGAGCCCUAUCCUCAAUCAUGUCUUUCCCGCCGAGCUACACACCUUCAUGAGCUCACCCCCUACUCCCACAAACGACGCCGGGUGACAAGGAGGAAAAGUAGUAAUGACGACAUGCAAACUGAAUAAGAUUAUGUAUUUUGAAUACGAUUCUAGAGAUGCACACGCUUUGUUCAUCAAUGCUGCUACGUUUUGAAACUUCAGCAUUUCAUUA